rfam:Brachypodium distachyon strain Bd21 chromosome 1, whole genome shotgun sequence.
AAUAUAUUCCUACGUCCAACAAAAGAUGUCUCAAGUUUGUCGAAAUUUGGAUGUAUCUAGACAUGACUUAGUGUAUAGAUGCAUUCAAAUUUAGUCAAAGUUGAGACAUCUUUUGUUGGACGGAGGGAGUAAGAU